rnacentral:rRNA from 1 species
CGUAAGCUAUGAUCCAGAGAUUUCCGAAUGGGGGAACCCAACAUCUUUAAUAGGAUGUUACGAUUGUGUGAAUACAUAGCACAUUCGAGGUAGACGCAGAGAACUGAAACAUCUAAGUACCUGCAGGAAGAGAAAGAAAAUUCGAUUCCCUGAGUAGCGGCGAGCGAAACGGGAAAAGCCCAAACCAGCAAGCUUGCUUGUUGGGGUUGUAGGACUCCAAUAUGGUAGUUCUUUCAGAUAGUCGAAUGACUUGGAAAAGUCAGUCAAAGAGGGUAAAAACCCCGUAGACGAAAUGUGGAAGACACCUAGGAGGAUCCUGAGUACGGCGGAACACGAGAAAUUCCGUCGGAAUCCGGGAGGACCAUCUCCCAAGGCUAAAUACUCCCUAGUGACCGAUAGUGAACCAGUACCGUGAGGGAAAGGUGAAAAGCACCCCGGAAGGGGAGUGAAAUAGAACCUGAAACCGUGUGCCUACAACAAGUCAAAGCCCGUUAAUGGGUGAUGGCGUGCCUUUUGUAGAAUGAACCGGCGAGUUACGAUUGCAUGCGAGGUUAAGUUGAAGAGACGGAGCCGCAGCGAAAGCGAGUCUGAAUAGGGCGUUUGAGUAUGUAGUCGUAGACCCGAAACCAUGUGAUCUACCCAUGUCCAGGUUGAAGGUGCGGUAAAACGCACUGGAGGACCGAACCCACGUACGUUGAAAAGUGCGGGGAUGAGGUGUGGGUAGCGGAGAAAUUCCAAACGAACUUGGAGAUAGCUGGUUCUCUCCGAAAUAGCUUUAGGGCUAGCCUCGGAAUU